rnacentral:rRNA from 1 species
CCAUGCAUGUUUUUGAAGAUUAUUAUCUGAAAAAUGGACUGCUCAGUAAUACUCACUUUAUUUUAUGUGCACCGCAGAUAACUACGUUAAAGUGUAGAUAACAUGUGUACAGUAAGAGUGAGACCUAUCAGCUAGUUGUUAGGGUAAUGGCUUAACAAGGCAGUGACGGGUAACGGUAUUACUUUGUAAUAUUCCGGAGAAGGAGCCUGAGAGACGGCUACUAAGUCUAAGGAUUGCAGCAGGGGCGAAACUUGACCUAUGGAUUUUAUCUGAGGCAGUUAUGGGAAGUAAUAUAUUAUUGUUUCAUAUUUUAAAAAUAUAUGA